AGGGCUAAGACAUUAAGAUAAAUAAAUUAUAUGUAUUUUAAAAUUAUAAGAUACUUACUUUGAUCCAAGGAUCUCUGCUUGAUAUAUGGACUCCACAAUAGCAGCAUCAUAGGGCAAGUGAUUAUCUUUAGUUUGAGGUGACCAAUAUUGGGUUGCAAGCUGAAAUAUCAACCAUAGUGAUUUAAAUCAAUUAGAGCUAACAAAAAUGUAUGAGUCUCCAGAAUUCUCGUACAGGGACUUUACGGAAACUUUGGAUUUAGAAGAUCGAUUUGAUACUGAUACCCUUCUAUUUACUCAUGAAAUAAUAGAAAAUGAAACUGAAAGUAUUGAAAAAAAUUCUAUACCUGUAACUGAAGGGAUAAUAUCCCCUGUUAAAAACUAUUUACUUUUAAGUUGUAACGAUUCAGGGCAGCAUUUUUCUAUUGGAACUGAAUCCAUAACUGAACUUAAUACUCAGAGUUGCCAAAAUGACAUCAAUAUUGCUAGUAUCGUACCAAUUCAUAAUUCAUUUUAUGAUGAAUCAACAUUAUUGGACGAAAAUAUAGUAGACCAGUUUCUGAUACCUACACCAACAUCUUCAAAUUCUAAUGAGAUGUGCAAGGUGCAUUUGACAGUGUGGAUCCUGGCAUACUGGUGAAAGUACUCAGUAAUUCUGGUAUACCUGAACAAUUAUCUAAAUGGAUUUAUGAUUUCCUUAAUAACAGAAUACUAUAUGUUAGGCAUAACAAUAUCUUGUAUGGACCUAGAACUGCAUCAAAGGGUACUAUACAAUACAUUUCUUAAAUUUAUUGAAAGACAGAGAUAAAAGAGCCUCUGGGAUUUUAUUAAAGAAGAGUAUCCCUUUCCCCAAAAAAGAAU